rnacentral:rRNA from 1 species
GACGAACGCUGGCGGCGUGCUUAACACAUGCAAGUCGAGCGGAGCGGCGAACGGGUGAGUAACGCGUGAGUAACUGCCCCCCUCCCUGGGAUAACAGUUGGAAACGGCUGCUAAUACCGGAUAGUGGGGGAUGACUCGCGUCCUAUCGGCUUGUUGGUGGGGUAGUGGCCUACCAAGGCGACGACGGGUAGACGGCCUGAGGGGGGGACCGGCCACCGUGGUCUGAGGUACGGCGCAAACGCGUACUGGAGGCAGUGGGGGGGACUAUUGCACAGUGGGGGAAACUCUGAUGUAGCGACGCCGCGGGCGGGAGGACGGCUUUGGGGUUGUAAACCGCUUUCAGCCAUGACGCGGUAGUGGCAGAAGAAGCACCGGCUAACUACGUGCCAGCAGCCGCGGUAAUAC